AACUGCAGAUAGUACAGCCUUCACAGCAGCCAAGGAUGCCUGGGCACAAGUGCCUGAGUUCCGAGGGACUUUGGGAAACACUUUGCUAACUCUCUCCUGCCUGGAAACCAGGAUUCUGCACCUGCCUGAUGGACAGUCUGGCCAGAGCCUCGGCCGUGCCCCCGGGGACAAGGAACUAGCACAAAUAACCGUUUGGAAAUUGGAUCGUGGCAAAAUUACCAAUAAGUCCAUAAAGGAAACUGAAGGCAGUUUGAUCUACACCUUCAAUAACAGUCCCACAAAAGUUGAAGAAAUAUGUUAUGUCUCCAAAGACACAUACUCCAAAGAGCAUAGUUAUACCCUAAAAUUAGGACGUGAUUCAGCCUUGACAUCUGGAAACGCACUGCUACAGGAGCAGCUGGCAUUCCUGUCCUACAGCAGGAAGUUAACUACGCAUUCCAAAGAGCCCCGAUUGUUUUGAUAUUUUCUGGCAGCUCAAGAAGCUUGGAUCUUGGAGAACAGCUCUUCUGUACCAACCACAUUUGGAACCAUACACAAAAGCAUAACUUGUCACAACC